AAAUAAUAUUUUUACUUGUUCCCCAAAGUCUUAAAGAAGAAAUGAGUCUAAAAUUUUUUAAAUGUAUUCAUAUUUCUCAUAACUAUACCACAAUGAUUUGUAUAGAUCAAAUUUGAAGAGCCAUUUCUUUUUUAAAAAUAAUCUUCUUGCUUAAUUUACAUGUUUUAUAAACACGAAGAGCUGCUUCACAUCUCAUUUAUUAAGAAAAUAAUCAUUGUUGAACAAAUAGUAAUGUGAGGCAAUAAAACUGAGCUUCCUCUAGUCUCUGUUAUUACACAGCUCUAAUAGUUUGCAAGCAUUAGUAUGAACACAGUGAGCAGAUAAUUACUUAAUAAUAGUAGAAGCAGAAAAGACAGGGUUCAAAAUAUAGACUUUUAUCAGUAAUAUAAUUUCUUUAUCAAUAUUAAUCAUUACCAUUUUGUCAUCAUUAUUAUUUUACAUGAACCUUCCUGAACUAGAGCAAAACAAAGAUCUCAUGUGAUCUCUCUUCACCUGACUCCCACCAUACCUGGAAAUGAAAAGAGAAAAAUAUAUAGCCUGGAUGAUAAUUGUCAAUUUUUAAUGAUAUUUACAAAUUUCAUGGCAUAUGGAACUUGGUGGGCAUGACGAAGCUUUGUUCAUCUCUGUACCUCCAGCUGCCAGCUCAAUGCCUAGCAUAUUGUGGACAUUCAAUAUAUAUCAACUUACUGAUGAUCAUUAGCAUAAAUAAAAUUUUUAAAUAUACAAUUUUUUCUUUGGUGAGAUCCGAUGUGUUCUAAUAAUAAAAGUGAGAAUCUUUCAAGUCAGCUAGAGUGAGUAAAUGUUGUUUUGCAUCAAAAAUAAAUAAAUAAUUAAAUUACAAGGCACAGGAAACCAAGUAAAAGUAUUGCUUGUGGUGCUGGUGGAAAGGAAAGGACUUCCAGACCAAGGUACAGUAUUUUGAUUACUGGAGAAGAGAGAAGAAACCUGUUAGUGCUUUGGCCAGUAUUGGGUCAAAUGAAAUGCCUGUGGCCCAGUGUGAAUCACCAGAGUAUCUUGCUAAAAUGCUGAUUCUAACUCAGUGGGUAUAGGGCAGGGCCCAGGAUCCCUUUAUUUCUGACCAGGUGAUGCUGAUGCUGCUGGAGUAGAAAGGAUCUAGAUUUCCUUUUCCAAACAUGUAUUUCCUUCUUCAUGGAAUUUGAAAGUGUGUCUGUAGACUAUUUCCUCUUUGUAAUUUUAUGGAGGGUUAGAAUCAUGCUAUAAAACAGGUUCUUACAACUGAAAUUCUGUGAAACUAAUUCUUGAAAGGAAGUGUCUUAGGUUUUUCUGGAAGUGUGAUACAUUCAUAAAAGGCACAUCACUACCCAGUGAGGUGGGACUCUGGCACAUUUCACUCCUUAGUGUGUGCCCAUCACUUUGUACUGGCUGCCUGGAGCACACAGUUAAGGAAGAUGCUGAGUCCAAGUCCAGACAUUCAGGAAGUGUGAUGUGAUUGGUUAGGGGCAUGUGCCUUGGGUGCAGAGAGAUAGUAGUACCCAUAACUUUUUCAUUAUUUUCUUGGUCAAAAUAAUCAAUAGGACAUUCUGGGAAAAGACUUAAUCAAAGUCAGUCAUUAAAAGGACUGUAAUUAGGUAAAUGCUGCAUAUGUGUACAACAGAUUAAGUAAAUAGAUUAUAUUAUUGGAAAUAUACCCCAUUUUAUAGCUAUUUGGCAUAUUAUCCAGUCAUGUCUCAAUGGUGUUUAGUGUAUUCUGCACUACUCUGAAAUUUAACCACCUGGAAGAAGUUAUGAAUAAGAAAAAAAAUUCUCUGUCAAUUAUUUCUAAAGGUCAUAGAGUUAAUGACUAGCUGGAAGGUUAAUUAGAUUCUGAAAACCUCUUCAUAUCAAUUAAAUCUCUUAUCUUUAUGUUUUAGUAAAUAAACUGAAUAACUAUUUAGAGCUACUGUUCUAGGGUAAGAAACGUUGUAAACAGUAAAACUACACAAUGGGUGUUUGGGUUUUUUCCUCACAUUAAAAAAAAAAAUAGUUAUAGCAGGCAUGGUGGCUCACACCUGUAAUCCCAGCACUUUGGGAGGCUGAGACAGGAGGAUUACUUGAGCCUAGGAGUUCAAGACCAGCCUGGGCAACAUACAGAGACUCCAACUCUACAAAAAUAAAAAUAAAUUAGCUGGAUGUGGUGGUGCAUACCUGUACUCCUAGCUACGCAGGAGACUGAGGUCAGAGAAUCACCUGAGCAUGAGAGGUUGAGGCUCCAGUGAGCUGUGAUCAUGCCACUGUACCCCAGCCUGAGUGACAGAGCAAGACUCUA
rnacentral:lncRNA from 1 species